rnacentral:rRNA from 1 species
UACGUAGGGUGCGAGCGUUAAUCGGAAUUACUGGGCGUAAAGGGCGCGUAGGCGGGCUGUCAAGUCUGGGGUGAAAUCCCGCGGCUCAACCGUGGAACUGCCUUAGAUACUGACGGCCUCGAGGGAGGUAGGGGCGAGCGGAACUGUGAGUGGAGCGGUGAAAUGCGUUGAUAUUCACAGGAACUCCGGUGGCGAAGGCGGCUCGCUGGACCUCUUCUGACGCUGAGGCGCGAAAGCUAGGGGAGCAAACGGG